rnacentral:rRNA from 1 species
GACGAACGCUGGCGGCGUGCCUAACACAUGCAAGUCGAACGAAGUUGUAGCAAUACAACUUAGUGGCGGACGGGUGAGUAACGCGUGGGCAACCUGCCUUUCAGAGGGGGAUAACACUAAGAAAUUGGUGCUAAUACCGCAUGAGCUAGUAGCUUCGCAUGAAGCAGCUAUCAAAGGAGUAAUCCGCUGAAAGAUGGGCCCGCGUCUGAUUAGAUAGUUGGUGAGGUAAUGGCUCAACAAGUCUACGAUCAGUAGCCGAUCUGAGAGGAUGAACGGCCACACUGGAACUGAGACACGGUCCAGACUCCUACGGGAGGCAGCAGUGGGGAAUAUUGCGCAAUGGGGGAAACCCUGACGCAGCAACGCCGCGUGGAGGAAGAAGGCCUUCGGGUUGUAAACUCCUGUAAUUGAGGAAGAAAAAAAUGACGGUACCCAAUGAGGAAGCCACGGCUAACUACGUGCCAGCAGCCGCAGUAUAC